AGUGAACACCGGGCGCGCGACCGUGCUGGCCGCGUUCAGCAACAAGCUACUCUCGUCCCCCGACACCAGCGGGCUUCUUCCCAGGUAUGUGCGGAUGAGCCCCGACGGCCGGUUGUCCUGGUGGAACGUGUCGCCCUCGUUCCCCAACGCCACGAUGUGGAUGGACCUGCGGGGCCGAGAGGGGCGCGGUGAGCGGGUGGGUACAGCCAGGGCGCGUGGCACGUCCCGGACCCAGACCGUGGCAGAACGGCGACGCGUACGUACAUGAUCGCGGCUGGCAGGGCGGCGCGGAGAUGGCAGCGGGCGGCCUGGCGGGGGCCCGGGCGACGCUCUCACUGCAGUCAGCUCAUCCCCGGCCGCGGCCCUCCCGCUCCUACGACGCGGCGCUACCGACGCAGAGGAGCGGGCCGGGAGUGAGCGGCCGGCCGGGCGCUGGCAGCGCUGCGGUCCCUGGUCGCCGCUCCUGGCCGCCGCGCCUCCGCCCGGGCUCCGCCUCCGCUCGGCGGGGCCGGAGGCCCGCACGUGUCGCCCCGAGAGUCCGGCGCGCGGGGGAGCUGGCUGCUGGCCGAGGCCGCGGGACACAAAGGAGCGGUGGGCGCGGGGACGACGCCGGAGCCCGGGAGCAGCUCGCCGCCAAUCCGCCUGCAGCAAGUUUCCUCAACUCGGAAGGCUGAAACCUGAGCCGGGAGCGGGGGAGGGGCGGCCUGGCCCCCGCCGGGGACCAGAAGAGAGCCCAGCCAGGAGGCAGCCCCCUGCCCACCCCGCGGUCCCGUACCCACCCCAGCCUUCGCAGAAAGUGUGUUAUCGUUUUGUCAAUUUACAACAUGCGCUUUGGCUGUUUUGUAAAAUCGUACUUGUGAAGAAGGAAAAAAAAAAAAGGCAACAUUCAUGCAGCUGCAGAAAAGGUUCUUUGUUCACGCACCAAUUAAUUUGCGGGUGCCACUUUGGAAAGGUCAUUUACUAUUGCAAGCUAUAUUUGGCAUAUUUUAACCAAGAUUGUGGAAUUUGAAGUGUUGGGAUUUUUAAUGUGUGUGGUUUAAAAAAAAAAG
rnacentral:lncRNA from 1 species